rnacentral:rRNA from 1 species
GACGAACGCUGGCGGCGUGCUUAACACAUGCAAGUCGAGCGGUGAGGCCCUGCUUUUGUGGGGUGCUCGAGUGGCGAACGCGUGAGUAACACGUGAGUAACCUCCGCUUGACUUUGGGAUAACUUCAGUAGACUGGGACUAUUAUCGGGUAUGAGCUCCUGCUACAUGGUGGUUGUGGUUAAAUUUCGGCGUUUCGUCACGGACUCGCGGUAUAGCAGCUUGUUGGCGGGUUGGUGUCUUACCAGGGCUUUGACGGGUAGCCGGACUGCGAGGGUGACCGGCCCCAAUGGGAUUGAGAUACGAGCCAGACUGAAUCGGGGGGAAUCAGUGAGGAAUAUUGCACAAUGGGCGGCAGGAUGAUGCAGGAACGCCGCGUCGGGGAUGACGGUCUUCGGGUUGUAACGCGCUUUCGCGUGGGAAGCAGCGCGAGUGACGGUAAUGGGCCAAGAAGCAACGGCUAACUACGUG